rnacentral:rRNA from 1 species
UCAGACCUACGGGGCGCAGCAGUGGGGGAUAUUGCACAAUGGGGGAAACCCUGAUGCAGCGACGCCGCGUGUGGGAAGACGGUCCUCUGGAUUGUAAACCACUGUCCCCAGGGACGAAAAUGACGGUACCUGGGGAGGAAGCUCCGGCUAACUACGUGCCAGCAGCCGCGGUAAUACGUAGGGAGCGAGCGUUGUCCGGAAUUACUGGGUGUAAAGGGAGCGUAGGCGGGGAUGCAAGCUG